rnacentral:rRNA from 1 species
GACGAACGCUGGCGGCGUGCUUAACACAUGCAAGUCGAACGGAAAGGCCCUGCUUUUGUGGGGUGCUCGAGUGGCGAACGGGUGAGUAACACGUGAGUAACCUGCCCUUGACUUUGGGAUAACUUCAGGAAACUGGGGCUAAUACCGGAUAGGAGCUCCUGCUGCAUGGUGGGGGUUGGAAAGUUUCGGCGGUCGGGGAUGGACUCGCGGCUUAUCAGCUUGUUGGUGGGGUAGUGGCUUACCAAGGAUUUGACGGGUAGCCGGCCUGAGAGGGUGACCGGCGACAUUGGGCCUGAGAUACGGCCCAGACUCCUACGGGAGGCAGCAGUGGGGAAUAUUGCACAAUGGGCGGAAGCCUGAUGCAGCAACGCCGCGUGCGGGAUGACGGCCUUCGGGUUGUAAACCGCUUUCGCCUGUGACGAAGCGUGAGUGACGGUAAUGGGUGAAGAAGCACCGGCUAACUACGUG